ensembl:lncRNA
GUUUGGAGGCCUAUCUCCCCCUACCACCACUCCCCCUGCCAGUGGCGGACUCCCUCAGACAUCGGUGCGUUGGUGGUUCUUUGUGUCUGGGGAUGGGCGUCCAGGUACACGCCGGCUCACUCCUUGGCGGCCGCUUAUCGGGGCCUGGAGCCUGGGGCUCGCUCGGGCCACUUCGGAGGUGGGGUGCCCCCGGCCUCUCGGCCUGGGGCUCGGUCACUCAGGCACAGCUGGCUGCCGGCGGAGCUCACGGGCGCGUCACUGCAACUCCCCCUGGCUUCUGCUCCGCGGCUGCUGAGUGAGCCCUCAUCUGGGACUCUCCUCAGCUCUUUCUGGGACAGUGGCGCGGCUGCCCCUCUGUUGGUCUUCCUUGGUCUCUUGUGUUCUGGGGGCCUCUGGAUGUCUGGAGUUUUGAUCUCCUCCAUACCUGCUUCAUGCCCUGGAGGACGGGGCUGUGGCCCCCCCACACCCUCUAGCAGAUCAUUACAUGAAGGAACCUUUGGAAUGCAAGCAUGCUUGUUCUAAAGGCUCACCUUCUAGCACAUUCACUUCACCAGAUGCACCUUGUUUCUUUUCCUCACCUUUGAUUGGGUGUGGUGCUUGGCCUUAAUUGCACUCACCUGUCACUCGUUAUAUGAGGACUGCACUCACCUACCCCUCACUCUUUCUUCACUCCCACAUGGGGCGGCAGCUGAGAGAGAGCAGUCCAUGUGUGUCUUUCUUUCCUUUACCUGUUAUACAAUAAAACGACAAAACCUGCAAAUGAUGACUGCUUAUUCUCAUUCUAAUCCGAUGAGCCCAUGAUGAUGACUACUGAAACCCUGAACCUUCCUUCCUCCAAAACAAUGCUGAUCCACACAGGUAUGCACACAGGUGUACACACGGGUAUUCACAGACGCGGACUACAGCUUUCUUGGCUGCUGCCUCAAAGCACAUUGUACGCUGUCUAUCUUGCGUGCUGCACAAUAUCGUUUAUUAUUUAGUAUCUACUGAUAUCUACUGCUAGCUAGUUUAUUGUGAUGGUGCUUUUCUUUUUAUUAUGUUGCUCUUUGUUGUUUGCUUUCUCUUCUGUUUUUUUUUUUCUCCAUACAGGUGAUCCAGGUGUUUUGUUUGUUUUGUUUUUUUUCUUUCUUCCCCCCCUUCUCACCGUCUCUUCUCCCCUCUGGUUUUCUUUCUCUCCCUCUCUUUCUUUCAUUCUUUCUCCCUGUCCUAUCCCCCAGUCAUGUCUGUCCCGUUUGUAGCAACUGAAAAUAAAAUAAAUUCAUAAUUAUAAUAAAGGUCAAUCAAAUGGACCAAUAUGGCAAGGCCAUGAUGAUCCACUUGGUAAAAUAAAUCCGCUUGGCAUCUUUCUUGGCCUUAAGACAACAAUUCUGAUGCUAAAGAUCCAAACAGGACACAAAAAAAAAAAAAAAAGAAAAAAAAAAGAAGUUUGAAGAGCAUCUUGAUUUUUGGUCUUUGGAUAUUAACAGUCCCAAGUAUGUGACUUCUUGUUUAACAGAGAUAUUACAGAUAGUAUUUGCAGGGCAGUCUUUAAUUGCUAGUAACUCACACUUUUUAAGAUUUAGGCAUAAACCAGAGGCCUCAGAGAAAUCACUAAUCACAGUAAGGGCUGGA